rnacentral:rRNA from 1 species
AUGAACGCUGGCGGCGUGCCUAACACAUGCAAGUCGAGCGGUAUAUACUUUAUCAAAUCUUCGGAAGAGAGACGGUAUAGAGAGCGGCGGACGGGUGAGUAACGCGUAGGCAACCUGCCCCAUACAGAGGGAUAGCCUCGGGAAACCGGGAUUAAAACCUCAUAACGCGAAGGAUUCACAUGGAUCUUUCGCCAAAGAUUUAUCGGUAUGGGAUGGGCCUGCGUCUGAUUAGCUAGUUGGUAAGGUAACGGCUUACCAAGGCAACGAUCAGUAGCCGACCUGAGAGGGUAAUCGGCCACAUUGGAACUGAGACACGGUCCAAACUCCUACGGGAGGCAGCAGUGGGGAAUAUUGCACAAUGGGCGAAAGCCUGAUGCAGCAACGCCGCGUGAGCGAUGAAGGCCUUUGGGUCGUAAAGCUCUGUCCUUGGGGAAGAAAAAAAUGACGGUACCCUUGGAGGAAGCCCCGGCUAACUACGU